UAGAAGCACGGCUGGGUCAACCGCCUACUCAUUGACACAGUAGUCGGCGCGUCCUAGCUGCAGUCUGUCCAGUGACACGAUAGUUGACACAUCAAAGCACUCGCCGAGCAGUGUCGUAUAAGUUUAGCCUUUAUUUUUCAAAAAGGUACAUGAAUUUAGUCUUAAGAAACAUACACACUCUCUCUACAUAUGUUUUUCGUUCAUCUAACUUGACCGUCGGAGACCGCAUUUCUCGAGAAACAGUUGAACUGCUCUUACAUGUCGCGUGGUCGUAGCUAGACCCUGGUCCAGACUGAUGACUGAUGCGCAACCGCCCACCACAUAGGACAACCAGAGGUCUAUCCUCGAUUUUCUUCCUCUCAUCUUCUAAACUCACUCCCCACACAGUUCAUCUCAAUUCAUAGCACACAUUUGGUUGCUAAUGAUCCUAAAUAGGGGAAGCUUAGGCUCAAGAGCUCGUUAGUGCCUGCCAGUUGUCCCCUCAUUAUCCUUUAGUUGCCCUUUCAUUGUCCUUCCUUGCCACGUGCUGACGAGGGGCUUGCUUUGAUCUUAGUUAGGGCACGAACAACGAAGCAGCGCACCUACCUUUAGGUGCUAUUUUGGUAGAAACUGUAGCGAUUUUCAUUCACUAUGGCCUCACCUUCAUGCAAAUGUCAAUCAACUUCGUGAGAACCAUGAUUGCGAUUGACACUCUAAUGCGAAGGGAGGGGUUGUUGUUUUUCGCUUUUGACCUGUUGUACGUCUAUACCGUAGUAUGGCCAAAGCUAGAGCCCGAUACAAAUUUUUGCAUAGGUAAUCAUUACGUUAUGCUUAGGAAUAACUAGUAACCAUGGUCCACACUUGUAACCGAAAGCCUAGACAAAGACUUAUAUCUAGAGUAAUUCGUCUUGAUCUUAGAAAAUUAGAAAUUUCGGGCUGGUGAUGAUGGGAUGUGGGCUUUCCAAGACAUAAUGGCAGGGUAGAUGAUAGUAAGUUUGUAUCUCGGUCAUGCACACACCUCUUUACUACACUUGUAUUUUUUGAGUAGCUUCUCGUAGUCUAACUAUUGGAUCUCGGUUGAUCUGUCUUGAAGGUUCAAUAGCUAGUUCAAAGUUCGGUUUGAAUAAUGCAAGGCCUCGAUCAUCACGUAAGCAAUACGAGUCAGUGUACCAAAAUACCAAUCCCUAUCGAGAUUCCUAACUUGGUCAAUUUGCCUUAUUCGAAUCCAAGAGCCUACUUAACGGGCUCAGCUUACGAGCUCUGGCGACAAAACUCUUAGCGAUUGGAUCAACGAGAAAGCUGCAAAAUUUGCUUAGGAGGUAGAGGAAGAAAAGGCAAAUUCGAGUUGCUUAAGGUCUGUUAGAUUGUCUGGGAGCGAGCUUGAAGCUUCCCUUACUGAGGAUGAAGGGGAAGAAGAAAAAGUAGAAGAAGAAGCUGAGGAAAAAGAGGAAGGAGAAGAGGAAGCUUAGGGGAGAGAGGAAGUUCUUAUGGGUAACCUGGCCAAAGCCAAGUGUAUUCUGGUCUUAAGCUCUAACGAUGAGGCCCCCGAGGUGUUUGCGGUCCCCCAUAACCCAUGAGUGUUCAGAGAAGAAGUUGAGCACUCUUCGUUAGAGAGGGAGAGGAGGUUGAUUCUAGCUCCAAACUUGAAAUUCCUCCCAAGCUCUUGAAGAUGCAGGAGAAACCCGCCUAGGAAAAACAAUGGGUCCCCUAUUGAACCGCCAAGGUAAAGAGCUCGUACCCCACUGCCCGGCCACAAAAAGACAAGAGGAAAGUGAAGAUGGGCCCUUCCUAAAAGUGGCGUUGCUAUGUAGGCACGAGCUCGACUUUCAAUUCCUCUUCCACACCAGUUGUUGUCCUUUAGCCUUGGAACCCAGAGCUCUCCGUCGAGGAGCUCAAAUGCAGCGUCACUUGAUAUGACAUAGCUCGGGACUUCAAAACCUGCCUAGCCGAAGCGCAGGCCGCGAUGCUUCCUUGAGACAUGAAAAAACUAAAUAAAGAAGAUUGGUUGAUGGCGUGUAGCCUAACGGUGAUGCAAAAUAUCCAAGUAAAUGCUUUAGCUCGGGUGAAUUUGCUGUCUCUAUAGUUUGAACAUGUAGUAAAUUUUUUGAUUGAACAAUUUCCUUCUACAGGCCAUCUAGAGGAUGGUGGUGAACUUCCAAUGCGAGAAAAAGUGUUUGAAUGAACUGAAGAAGGCUUAAAAGUGAGAUGCCACUUUGGAAGGUGAUGUGAAGAAGAAAGGGGAAGGAGCUAGCUGCCACCACCAAAAAGCUGUCCAAGACUCAGUAGGAGGUCAUUGAGCUAUGGAAGGUGGCCUAAGGCCUUAUCUACCAGCAGGUCUAUGACUGUAGUUGGAAUAAGGUCAGGGACUUCUAUGUUUGAGAUACGACCGAUGACCAAGCCAAAGCCUUCCACAAGGGCUGACUAAUAUGUCUUAAGGAGCUCGGCACUCUCUUUAAUCAUUUGGUGUGGACGGUGAUGAAACCACUACUUUCCUACCCAAACCCGGACCCGUGCCCCAAGC
rnacentral:lncRNA from 1 species